rnacentral:lncRNA from 10 species
CUGAAAAUAGAUUUACAUGCAAGGUGUGUAAGAAAAUUAAAAUGUGUUUUUUAGUAAAAGAUUAUACAAAGGCAUAGAAAUGUAAAUUUUUGCCUAGGGUCAAAAGUUUGUGUUGAAUUAUGUAAGAUAAAAGUAAAAGUUUAAACAAGUUGUGGAAGGUUUCUAAAAAAUUAAUCUUGUAAAAAGAAAUUCUGUAUGGACAUUGGCUAAAGUUAAAAGGAUAUUAUUUUUCUGUGAACUGAACAUUGGAAUAAAAGCACAGCAGGUUUUUCUUAGAGCACUGAUUUGCUCUUUCACAAAAAUUUAUAAAGGGUUAGAAAAUGUUUAUAAGAAUCUUAUCUCAUGGUCAAAUUGGUUAAGAUUAGAUAGAAUUUUCUAUAAGGUUUCAUAAAAAAGUUGGGGUUGACAUUAAUAAUAAACUAAUACGUUUAUUAUUGAAAUUUGGCUUUCUCUCCCUUGUACAAGAUUUGCAUGUAAUAGUAAAGGAUAAUGAAAAUUUUUCAUUCGCCUUGCAGAUAGACUGCCAAGGAAAACAAAAAAGAAGACAGGAGACAAAUUGUUUGAAAAGCUGUCUUCUCUCUUAAUGAGUAAAGGUUUUUGGCCUCGUUUUAAAAUUUCUGAGUCAUCAUUUUGGCAAAAUAAAUAACAUGGUAAUCUGGAAUUAUAUUUCAUAAUAUCUAGAGUUUUAAACCUCUAACAUAUUUAACAGGCUUCCCAAAAUCAAACCUCAGUUUCAAGGUUGUGUUUCCUGACCCCUAGUUUUGAAUGAUAUAGAGGGCCCCUAGAGCAUCCAGAAGAGAAACAAACAGGAUUAGCUGAGAUGUUUAGGUAUGUGGGAUUGCCAAAAUGAUUUUUAAUCUUCAGAUUAUAUUUUAGUGAAUAAUAUUAUGUAUGUUUCAAAGUUAUAUGGAAUUUCUAAAACUCUCAUGUCUGAGUAUAUGCUAUCAAUCAUAAUUAAGGUUGUUAAGUUGUUGUAAACCACAGGAAAAAAACAAAUUCCUUUGUCAAUUGUGUUUCUAACUGUAACUACUCUGGACAUUUUGUUAUUUGUGGAUAAUUCUUAUCUUGUUUUAAUUCUCUUCAAAAGAUAGUUUAUAAUCAUCUAUAGAACUUUGACAGGUGCUCUCAAAUGCAGGUUUCUGAUAACUUUGGAGAUUGUGGCUUUGGAAUAAAGAAAAAACGUACAGGACUCAUGAAGAGCUGAAAUGUUCGUGAAUAUCAAGCAGAAUAACAGUUAAUGAAAUGGAUGGAAUUAAUAGAAAGCUGAAGAUGCAAUUGGAGAAACUGGUUGUUUUACCAAGGCCUUGACUGGAAGGGUAUGCUUCAUUUUAAGGAAUCAAGUUUGACUUGCAGAGCUGAUAAAAGCCCCUUGGGAAAACUGGCCUCAUACCCUGUCUACACAGUCCCUGUACAGAGUUCCUAACCUGUGGUGGGUAAAGAAUGCCACUUUCUAACAGGACCAGGAAGCCCAUGUUCUUGGGACUUCAAGAAGAGAGGAAUUCACCCAACUCAUAGUAUUUGAGGGUACAAACCCAUGGUUGGGCUCAGCUUUAAAAAGUCCUAUAUGAGAUUCCUUGUGGAAUAGAGUUUUAUCAAAGUGAAUUUUAAAAGCCUAUAUAAAAAUAAUUAUUCUUGAUGCACUUUAUGCAAAUAAUAAGGCCAAGUAUAAGACUAAAGUUUAUUUUGCAAACAACUCAGUCCUACUAUGAUUUGUUUUUAACAAAAAUGAGGACUGGAGAAAGAGAAAUUAUGUGUCAAAACUUGUCAUACAUUUGUCAUUAAAUUCUAGACCCAUUAGUUGUUGUUUUUUUUUGCCUACAUUUUAUACUAACCCUGCUUAUUCCUGUGAACCAACUAGCUAUCUCUGUCUGCAGCUCGAAAGAAAAAAAAGGGAUGGGUAAUAUAAAAAUUGGAUCAAUAUUCUAGUUCUGGGCAAUUAUCCUACAAAUCCUGCCAGGUGAUAGGAAUAAAUAGGGUGCCCAUAACCCAGAGGUUUCUUUGUUUGGGAAAAUAGGACCAAGGGAACUAGCCAAAGCCAAGCUCCAUGCACCCAAAUCUUAGUAGGUAUAACUAUAGCUACCAGUUAUCUGGCCGUGUAGGCAUCCUCUAGAUUUCUUAGCUGUCCUUACCCCCAUCCUUAUUUAGUUUUGAUCCCUGUCUUCUAAUAACUUAUUUUGUCUCUUCUUGCCUACAGGCCAUUGAACUCCAAAUGCAACCAGAGCUUCAAAUGAUGGCCCAUUUUUACCAGCGAUCCUUAGAUAGGCCUCUGAGGGACAUCUGACUGCCAUUUUCUCAAAACAGUGCCCCUUGUCAGCAGCAAGUGGUCAAGAUCAGUCUUCCUCCUUUUCCUUAUCUUUAUUCUAAUGGUAAUUAAAUGUACUUCUUUAGAGGAGGGAAUGAUAGAGGCAGGAGAUAGCCAAAUGCCUAAACAAAUAGGGAAGGGUCCCCGGAGAACCUCCAACCCACUGAUGUCAUUGUGCACAGGGGGCUUGCCUAAACAUGCCCACAGUGAAAAAUUCCAUCCCUUAACACAUGUGCAGUAAGGGAAAUCAGUCAAUGUGCAGUGGCUCAGACUAAUGGCCCGCAUGCCCACUGGAAGAAUGAGGUGGAGCCACCAUCGUUCCUUAGGCAGGGGAGGAGGCUGGCCUCUUCAGCUUGCAUGUAGUGGCCUGGUAUUCAAUUUGUGAGGUGAAAACUUACAUGCAGGACCCCUCUCUUUGUUGGGAGCUUUCCUUUUGCUUAAUAAAAUUUGUCCUCCUUAC